rnacentral:rRNA from 1 species
CNUNUCGGAUUUAUUGGGCGUAAGAGCUCGUAGGCGGUUUGUCGCGUCUGCCGUGAAAGUCCGAAGGCUCAACCUCGGAUCUGCGGUGGGUACGGGCAGACUAGAGUGAUGUAGGGGAGACUGGAAUUCCUGGUGUAGCGGUGAAAUGCGCAGAUAUCAGGAGGAACACCGAUGGCGAAGGCAGGUCUCUGGGCAUUUACUGACGCUGAGGAGCGAAAGCAUGGGGAGCGAACAGGAUUAGAUACCCUGGUAGUCCAUGCCGUAAACGUUGGGCACUAGGUGUGGGGGACAUUCCACGUUUUCCGCGCCGUAGCUAACGCAUUAAGUGCCCCGCCUGGGGAGUACGGCCGCAAGGCUAAAACUCAAAGGAAUUGACGGGGGCCCGCACAAGCGGCGGAGCAUGCGGAUUAAUUCGAUGCAACGCGAAGAACCUUACCAAGGCUUGACAUGUGCCAGACCGCUCCAGAGAUGGGGUUUCCCUUCGGGGCUGGUUCACAGGUGGUGCAUGGUUGUCGUCAGCUCGUGUCGUGAGAUGUUGGGUUAAGUCCCGCAACGAGCGCAACCCUCGUUCCAUGUUGCCAGCACGUAGUGGUGGGGACUCAUGGGAGACUGCCGGGGUCAACUCGGAGGAAGGUGGGGGAUGACGUCAAAUCAUCAUGCCCCUUAUGUCUUGGGGCUUCACGCAUGCUACAAUGGCCGGUACAAUGGGUUGCGAUACUGUGAGGUGGAGCUAAUCCCUAAAAGCCGGUCUCAGUUCGGAUUGGGGUCUGCAACUCGACCCCAUGAAGUCGGAGUCGCUAGUAAUCGCAGAUCAGCAACGCUGCGGUGAAUACGUUCCCGGGCCUUGUACACACCGCCCGUCAAGUCACGAAAGUUGGUAACACCCGAAGCCGAUGGCCUACCACCUUGUGUGGGGGGGAGUCGUCGAAGUGGACUGCGAUGA